AGGCAUAAUUCAUAGCCCAAGCAACUUGCAUAUGUUGUCAUUUUCGAUUUGAUUCUUUCUCUGUUUUUAUUUAUUAUUCAACCGCUAGAACCCCACCAGGAAGACAUAAAACAGCAAGGCAUAGCAUAGCAUGAGAAAAUUCAUCAAUGGCAGCUUCAACACUGUGUUUGGCUCUUCUCGUUCCUCUCAUCUUCUUCCCUAGCUUUCAUGCUUCAUCUUCCGUCUCUCUCUCCGUAGAGAACUUCAAAGAAGAAGUCAUAGUGUCAUCACCCAAAGCAACAUUCACGGCAGGCUUUUACGCCGUCGGACAAAACGCUUUCUGCUUCGCAGUAUGGUACACCCACUCACCAGACACCCUUGUUUGGAUCGCCAACCGGGACCAACCGGUUAACGGAAAACGCUCCACGCUCUCCCUUCUCAAAUCCGGUAACCUCGUACUCACCGACGCCGGUCAGUUGCAAGUGUGGUCCACCGGCACCACCACCUCAUCCAGACAAGUCCGCUUACAUUUGUACGACACCGGCAACCUCGUACUCCUCGAAGAUUCCUCCGACAGCGCUGUUUUGUGGCAGAGCUUCGAUUUCCCGACCAACACACUUCUUCCAAACCAGCCUCUGAGAGGGAGCACCAACCUCGUUUCCUCGAGAAGCGGGAGCAACCACUCCUCCGGUUUCUACAGGCUCUUCUUCGACUUCGAGAAUGUUCUGCGGCUCAUGUACCAGGGCCCUCGAGUUUCCAGCGUUUUCUGGCCCUACGCUUGGCUUCAGAGCAACAACUUCGGUAAUGGCAACGGCAGAUCCACUUUCAACGAUAGCAGGGUUGCUGUGCUUGAUGAGUUGGGUGGCGUGCUUUCUUCCGACAACUACACUUUCAGAACGAUCGAUUACGGGACGGUGCUUCAGCGGAGAUUGACCCUCGAUCAUGACGGUAAUGUGAGGGUCUACAGCAUGGUAGAUGGACAAGAGAAGUGGGUGGUAUCAGGGCUGUUUCGCCCACAACCUUGUUUUAUCCAUGGCAUUUGUGGACCCAAUAGUUACUGCACAAAUAACCCAACAACUGGCAGAAAGUGUUCCUGCCUUCCAGGUCACAGAUGGAUUGAUAGUCAAGACUGGACUCUAGGUUGCAGACCGAAUUUUGAUCCUUGGUGCAACACCACUAAGCAAGAGUCUCGUUUCGUGGGCUUAUCUGAAUUUGAUUUUUAUGGAUAUGAUUACGGCUUCUAUCAGAAUCACACUUACGAACAAUGUGUGAAUCAGUGCUUGAAGUUGUGCGAAUGCAAAGGGUUUCAGUUCAGUUUUUCGGACCAAGGUGGUUUCGGUAGUCAGUGCUACCUGAAGACACAGUUGCUGAAUGGGCAUCAUUCAGUAAGUUUCUCGGGAUCAUUCUUCCUGAGACUGCCUUUGUCUCAGGACUAUGAGAACCCCAUCAGUAAUGUUUUGGUUUGCGGGGGAAAUAGCGGAGGAGUGAAAGAACUAGAAAGACCGUAUGUGGAAGAAAAAGAAAAUGGAUCGGUGAGGUUCAUGCUGUGGUUUGCGUGUGCCUUGGGAGGACUUGAGGUUCUGUGCUUCUUUCUGGUGUGGUGUUUUCUGUUUAGGAAUAAUGCUGACAAACAAGCCUAUGUUCUUGCUGCGGAAACAGGGUUUAGGAAAUUCAGUUACUCUGAAUUGAAACAAGCUUCCAAAGGUUUCGGUGAAGAGAUUGGAAGGGGUGGUGGAGGUACAGUGUAUAAAGGUGUCUUGUCUGAUCAUCGGGUUGUGGCGAUAAAAAGACUACAUGAAGUAGCAAGCCAAGGAGAAAGUGAGUUCCUGGCUGAAGUAAGUAUCAUUGGAAGACUUAACCACAUGAACUUAAUUGGCAUGUUAGGGUUUUGUGCGGAGGGAAAAUAUAGGUUGUUGGUUUAUGAGUACAUGGAGAAUGGUUCUUUAGCUGAGAACCUUUCAUCGAGUUUAAAUGUUCUUGAUUGGACCAAGAGGUAUAACAUUGCUUUGGGAACUGCAAGGGGUCUUGCUUACUUGCAUGAAGAAUGCUUGGAGUGGAUUUUGCAUUGUGAUAUCAAGCCCCAAAAUAUACUUCUCGACUCUGAUUACCAACCUAAGGUAGCUGAUUUUGGGUUGUCUAAGCUACUUAACCGGAACAACCUCGACAAUUCAACCUUCUCGAGAAUAAGAGGAACAAGAGGCUACAUGGCACCGGAGUGGCUUUUCAACUUGCCAAUCACUUCCAAGGUGGAUGUCUACAGCUAUGGCGUUGUUGUCUUGGAGAUGAUAACUGGAAGGAACCCAACAGCAGGUAUCCAACUCUCAGAAUUGGACGCUGAAUCACAUAAUCAUGGGAGGUUAGUGACAUGGGUGAGGGAGAAAAGGAAGAAAGGGUCAGAAGUGGGAUCAUCUUGGGUGGAUCAAAUAGUUGACCCUGCUUUGGGAUCAAAGUAUGAUAGGAAUGAAAUUGAGAUAUUAGCUACGGUGGCUUUGGAAUGUGUAGAGGAAGAGAAAGAUGUGAGACCCAGCAUGAGUCAUGUUGUUGAGAGGCUCCAAAGUUACGAGCACAAUUCUUGAUGGUUUUGAACAAAGAAUAGCCAGACAUUGCAAGGUUUUCACCUACCUUGUUUGUUUAUCAUCCACGUUUAGUCUUGCUGUUGUAUAUCAUAUUCUGGUGCUUUGAAAUCGAGUUGACUCCAUCUCCCUGGAAUCCAGGUGGACACUUGCAACCUUUGGUGUGGUCAUCCUGCAUAAUCAUUUAAGAAAGCAUAUAUCAACAUUAAAAGAAAAAAAACAUACAAGCAAGAAAAUUGAAAAGAGGAUGAAGAGGAUUACUUACAAUACAAGCAGAGAAAGUCGUGCUACCUCUGGUUUCUUUCCAACAACCUCCGUUGUUGAUUGCACACCUCAAGGCCCCUGUAGCUGCUUUGAAAUAAAAAUGUGAAUGUGAAUUUAUAUUUUGAA